GAGCAUGCUCUGAUGUUUGCUGGAACUAAAACAGAAGUACAAAGAGUCAUUGUCGAAUGGAAAGAUCUGAAAUAUACCCACCCAUGGGUGUUUCCAUCAUCUGUCACACUGAAGGCAGGAGCACCGUGCAGGAAAUCUAAGGAAACAUCUUCAUUUUCAUCCAGCCACUGCAUCACAAACUGCUCAAACCACCUGCAGGGGAGCAAAGACAGCAAGUUAUAACAGGAAGAAGAGCACCCCAACCCCAGCAAGCCUUGUGAAAGCUGUCAGAUGUCUGAAUGUUGCUGUCUGUGCAUGUAGUCCAAGUUCCCAAAAACACUUGCACCUCUACACAAGCUAACAGGGCAUGUACCAUCACUUGGGCUGGUUCUGA